AAAAAGUUAGUUUUGGUAUAAGUAAGGUUUUUUCGAAAAAGUUAGUUUUGGUAUAAGUUAGGUUUUUAUGAAAAAGUUAGUUUUGGUAUAAGUUAGGUUUCUUCGAAAAAGUUAGUUUUGGUAUA